AGAAUAGAGUUAUAGCAUAGUUUUGGAUUUAACCCUAAUAUAUUAAAGGGAAUUAGGUUUUGAUUUUUCCAAAACUAAACAUUUUAUCCCGAUUCCUCUCCUCUUCUCGCGACGGCGCGCGGCGGUGAUCUCGGGCGAAAGAAGCGACGGAACUAGGGAUCGUCUCCGGCGCCGGCUAAGGUUUCCGAGAGGUUUUCUUCACCUCCUUGAGGUUGGCUCGUCGAGGGGAGCACGCGAGCGCAGAAGGAUCGCCGGAUUUGAAGCUUCAUCCAAACCCUAGAUCUCUUUCUCGGUUGUAAGCCCAAGCAAACCAAGAUAAAGGAAAGGAAAAGAUUUAGCAAGGAAGGCGACAAGGUGGUGGUGAUAAAGAGUUGCGCUGGGGAUUGACCUCACCCGGCUCGUCCGUGACUUGUUAGCUCGCGAGCAAAGCUUCGUCCUCGAUUUUGCUUCACCGGCGUCCUUCCUCAGGUUCAAUGGCGGAGCCGGGGUGAUCUACCCAGGCUGCUUCUUUUUUCUCUCCCAGGGUUGUUUCUUUUUUCUCUCCCUGGGCUGAUCAUGGGCGGUGGCCUAUGAGCGACAACGUCGACGUCGUCCUCCGAGCUACUUUUUUCUCUCCCAUUUUUUUUAUUUCUCAUGCAUUAAAUCACAAUAAAUCUACAAUAAAUUCAGCUAUAGCCCCCGGGCUACCGCCCGGGUGGCCUUGAACCUAGAUCCGCCCUUCGGGUUGAUGCAGGAGUGGAAGAGGUGGAGGAGAUGGCAAAAGCCGCCUUUUCUGGCGCCGUCGGGAGGUAACUCCAGCUCCAUGCCGGCGAACAUGGCGAAGAACUCUGCGGCCCACUCGGCGAAAUCAUGCCGGCGAGGGAAGGCGCAGUAAGCUCACGAUGGUCUCGAGGAUGAUCUGUGAAUCAGGGUGUUUCCCAAAUUCUGCCUUUUAAAGAUCGAAGAUCUGACACUACUCUUCUUCAUUUACUAUUUCAUAUUUUUAAAGAUCCGAGCUAACUUAGACUUAGUUAAUAUAAAAAGCGGAAUAGAAUAUAUGAGUCUGUGAUGAAAAACUAAGUCCGCACUUAAUUUUGUAAUUCGAUUGGUUAAUUCAAUUUAACUGGAUUAAUUCAGUUAUU